rnacentral:tRNA from 1 species
AGUCUCUUAGUAUAUAUUUUAGUACGUUUGAUUGCAGAUCAAUUAGUUAAGGGUCUUU